UUUAACACUUGACCUCGAUCAGUAGUACCAUCC
rnacentral:rRNA from 1 species